UUAAAUUGAAGAGUUUGAUCAUGGCUCAGAUUGAACGCUGGCGGCAGGCCUAACACAUGCAAGUCGAACGGUAACAGGAAACAGCUUGCUGUUUCGCUGACGAGUGGCGGAC
rnacentral:rRNA from 2 species